rnacentral:rRNA from 1 species
UACAGAGGUCUCAAGCGUUGUUCGGAUUCAUUGGGCGUAAAGGGUGCGUAGGCGGCGCGGUAAGUCGGGUGUGAAAUCUUGGAGCUUAACUCCGAAACUGCAUUCGAUACUGCCGUGCUUGAGGACUGGAGAGGAGACUGGAAUUUACGGUGUAGCGGUGAAAUGCGUAGAUAUCGUAAGGAAGACCAGUGGCGAAGGCGGGUCUCUGGACAGUUCCUGACGCUGAGGCGCGAAGGCCAGGGGAGCAAACGGG